GUCUAGCUGUAAACGAUGGGCACUUGGUGUAGCGGGUAUCGACCCCUGCUGUGCCGAAGCUAACGCAUUAAGUGCCCCGCCUGGGGAGUACGGUCGCAAAUGCUGAAACUCAAAGGAAUUUACGGGGGCCCCGCACAAGCGGUGGAGCAUGUGGUUCAAUUCGACGCAACGCGAAGAACCUUACCGAGGCUUGAACUGUCGGUGACAGCCCUGGAAACAGGGUUUUCCUUCGGGACGCCGGUAGAGGUGCUGCAUGGCUGUCGU
rnacentral:rRNA from 1 species